GCCACCGUAGCUCAGUUGGUUAGAGCAGCUGUUUUGUAAACAGCAGGUCGUCGGUUCGAAUCCGACCGGUGGCU
rnacentral:tRNA from 1 species